rnacentral:lncRNA from 1 species
AGUAGGGCCUGAUGUAAACACCCGAGCCGGGCUCCAAGGCCCGGGAGGUCAGAAAACCGGGCCGCGGGCGGCACCGACAGCUGGGGCCCGGGUCAGGGACACGCGGAGGUCAGAGGAACAAUCCUGCACCAUGACUCAACAGCCACUUCGAGGAGUGACCAGCCUGCGUUUCAACCAAGACCAAAGCUGCUUUUGCUGCGCCAUGGAGACAGGUGUGCGCAUCUACAACGUGGAGCCCUUGAUGGAGAAGGGGCAUCUGGGAUCGUGAUCGUGCUGAAGAACCGCAUCUAUGUGUACUCCUUCCCCGACAAUCCCCGAAAGCUGUUUGAGUUUGAUACCCGGGACAACCCCAAGGGGCUCUGUGACCUCUGCCCCAGCCUGGAGAAGCAACUGCUAGUGUUCCCGGGACACAAGUGUGGGAGUCUGCAACUUGUGGACCUGGCGAGCACAAAGCCUGGCACCUCGUCUGCUCCAUUCACGAUCAAUGCACAUCAGAGUGACAUAGCCUGUGUGUCUCUAAACCAGCCAGGCACUGUAGUGGCCUCAGCCUCCCAGAAGGGUACCCUUAUUCGCCUCUUUGACACACAAUCCAAGGAGAAACUGGUGGAGCUGCGCCGAGGCACUGACCCUGCCACCCUCUACUGCAUUAACUUCAGCCACGACUCCUCCUUCCUCUGCGCUUCCAGUGAUAAGGGUACUGUCCAUAUCUUUGCUCUCAAGGAUACCCGCCUCAACCG